CCCAAAACAAGUUCAGUCUCCUGGCCUCGCUGCUGCUGUUCAAAGCUGUUCCAGAUCCUUGCACUGGCAGUGAAUCUCUGUGUGUAAAAGACAGUCCUGUUAGCAGGCGUGAAGAACAGGACCUCACACUUCUCCGCUCCAGACUCAUCAUCCUUCUUAUUGAGAAACGAUACGAGGCAGCUGUAAAGACCCAGAGGUGCUUUAGCAGCACUGUGGUGAGCACUGAAGGUGGUGUGGGGAGUCCAUCAGCCAAGCACCCACCGCUAAGCUCUCCUGGUGGACUAAAUGCUGUAGCUUAGGCUAGCGGAGAGAUUCUCUGACUGCACAGAAAAACGCAGACGCCUAAGCCAAGAAUGUAGAAGA